GCUGCUGCUGCUGCUAAGUCACUUCAGUUAUGUCCAACUCUGUGCGACCCAAUAGAUGGCAGCCCACCAGGCUCCCCCGUCCCUGGGAUUCUCCAGGUCCAUCAACGUUGCUGUUGAUACACUUCUAAUUUGAAGACUCCCUGUGUAUUUCUCCUCAGACUGGCAUGUUACUUCUUUGAACAGGGCACAACCAUCAGACGAAGUGGGAGGAAGAAACAUUAACUUCAACAGCUGUUUCUUGACCCCGGCUGUCAGUCUUCCCAAGAAUAAAUUUUGGAGAGUCCUAUUUGAAACAAAGAGGGAGUUUUGGGGGAGAGAAAAGUUGGUUGGUUCCAGGGCGGCCGCCCAAAGGAGCAGGGACCAAGAUGCUGGCAGUUACCACGCAGCCUGCCAGCCUCUGCCGGGUGCAGGGGUGGAGCAAAGUAACUCGAAAGCUCCCCUCUCGGCGCCCUGUGCCUGCAGCUUCCCCCCCUAACGCGCGCCCAGAUCCAGCGCCGGUGGUAAGAGCCGUAGCUCGACUACAGUAAUUCCCCAGCUCGGGCGGCUUGAAACUGCUCGGGCUGAAUAGCAUUUGCUGUUCCGUCCGGCGGCCGCCUCCCGCCGCCGCUGCCGCGCUCCCUGCAAAGCAGCUCUCAUUAUCCCGGAAGUUGUGCUGACACUGUCUCGCUGCCACCAGAAGUUUGUCAACAUCAAACUUCUCCUGUGUGGGGUACGUUCAC
ensembl:lncRNA